rnacentral:lncRNA from 1 species
CAGAGGCGUGGCCAUUUUCAAAUGUCAUCCUAUCUGGAAGUCAAGGAGCCCAGAACUGGCAUUUGCAUGCACAUUUCCUCUUCUUGAUGCAAAUCAGGUUGUAAGAAGAUUGAUCUAUUUGCAUAAUUUGAAGGUCGCUUUGUUGGACAAGGUAUUAAAAACAAACAUCCACAUUGAUUCUACUGUUUUACAAGCUCAUUAGUGUGGUAUUAUAUAUGUAUCCCACCACACCCUGCUCAUCUUAACUGGACAGGGGCAUCAAUCUCAGUGAGGUAAAGGCAGAAAUCAUGAUGGCAUAAAAGUCUCAUCUGGACCUUGUAUGCAAAUCAAUUGUUUACAGAAGACUUCAGAGUUGUGCCUUGGUGAAUAAUUGUUUGUUCUUUUGUCCUUUGGGGUUCUAGCAUAUGAACUGGAACAUCAUGGUGUCUUCAUUCAUCAUUAUCUUUAGGCGUAAGUGAUGAAAAGAAGGCUUUGGAUCUUAGCCCGGAAGCAGCAUGCACCUGUUCUUGACAUCCUUGGAUUCAUGCUCAGUCGGCUUCAAGAAACUCAAUAUCGUGUGCUGUCAUUGAAGUAGACUGGGAAGCUCACGAAGAAGGUGCUGAGAGAAACGUUCAACUAACUGGCAAAAAUUAAAAUGUAUGCUAUUUCAAGAGAGAACCACGCAUCAGCAUGGGUACCAAAUGUAAGGGGAGAAAGUUCUGUAAAAUAAUUAAAGAGUACAGAGAACUUCAAACUGAAUGAACUAGCAAUUCAUAAUUGAGGAGGGUAAAAUGAAAAUAACUUUUUACACAUUCAGCCAAAAUAUCACAGCCAAUUUCCAAACUAAACAGUAGCCAAAAUGAACACAAGAGGGAUGGACGUUUCACUAGGAAGUCUUAAUGCUUUCAAGAAAAUUUCAAGUCCAAACUGGGGUUUAAUUUCUUUCCUGCUACUGUAUAUCUAGAUUCCACUGAGGUUAAACAAGAAAAGUAAUAAUGAAGUGAAAUUGAAUAAUGUGAAUAAUGUAAUGCCAAAAAUAUUGAGAGGCUACUAACUAAAAGCAGACAUAGAAAUGUAAGAGCCAUUUCUCUUCUCUCUAAUUUUCCAUUUCUGGAUAAUGUUACUGUUUAUAGGGUGUCUGCAUACCAUUUCUGGAGGCUACUAGGAGUUCUGUGUUGCUUUGACUCCAUAUUGUAGUAGCAAGCUCUUUUCCCUGUGAUUAAUGGAUCAGUGCAGGUGUGCAGAAAUAGAUGGACUUCCUUUAUAGCCAUUAAUUUUCACUAAUCAGUAUUGUAUGGCACCAUUAAAUCAUAGAAUAAUAUAGUUGGAAGGGACCCCGUUGGCCAUUAAGUGCAACUCUCUGGCCAGUGCAAGAUCACCGGUAAAACCACCUUAAAUAGGUAGCUGUC